GCAGACGGCGGAGAGCUGGGAUGGAGCGCGCCUUGGCCCGCUGGCCUUGGCUGCAGCUCCUCGGGAGAGCCGGGGCGCCCACGCGAGAACCUCCCUACCUGCCAAGCUUCUCGAAAGGUCUGUCUUCACUCGCUGGCUUCCUUGCUCACCUCCAAUGUCCUCUCCAACCCACUGCUUCUUGACCUCUGCGCCGUCGAGCGGCUCUCGCGAAGGUCGGCCUGUCCUCGACGCACUGGCAGCGAGCGUCGGCUGAAGAACCGGAUGGAAGAGGCGGGAGAGUCACCACGGACCGGCGUUCCUUCAGGUCGGUCGCCUGGCGUCUUCGGGCUGCGACUCCUUCCCGGAUCGGGCUGAAGCCAUCAUCUGUGUCCUCCGUCGGAAGGGACCUCAGACAUGUGGCUCCUGCACCCUCCAGCUCUGAAAUCGGCAGGCUAGGAUGCAAGUGGCCUUGCUGGGGGGCCCUUCCAAGGGCCGAGGGACCAGCCUCUCGAACGGGCUCGGCGCUCCAGUGACCUUCGCGUCCCCCUCCUCCUUGAAUUGUCUGGAAAACAGAAUGGACAGAUUUUCUGUCUUCAAAGUUUCCGGCUAAACCUCUUCAAAGUUCUUUAUUGUUUGGGACUGAGACACUCAGCAGUGCUAAUGGGUAGUUCCUUUUGUAUUUGCCCUGAAAGGCCAAAAUAUUUUUAUAUCGCUCCAGACAAAGCCGUCUAUUUUAAGAUGAACUCUGUCCGUCGUUGGCCACCGGGGAGACGGUGUCCGCCGUGUGUGUGUCUGUGUGCUCUCGGGUCUUGAAACGGGUUUCUCCUGGGGAUGGCCAUUCACAGGGGUCCAGGGGGAAGCGCCUGCCCCCCCGAAGGGGGCCUGGGGAAGCGGGGACUGGGGCAUCCCGCCCUAAUUGCAGAUCUGCCACCCCCACCCACCCCCACCCCCUCUGUGUAGGAUAUGAGCCCCUGGGGCGGUGGGGGCGGGUUCUGGCUGCACUAACAUUUCCUGUGCCUGCGCCUGCACCUGCCAUGCGUAUGUGUUGGGGACCGUGGGUUGUGUGCACCUGGGUGGUUAAUUCAGUGGGAGGAGCUGGGAGGUCAGAGAUACUGUGAAGGUUCUAUUCUGGUUGGGAGGUCACGGCUGGGAGGUGUGACCUGGUCCAAACAAGCGAAUGGAUGCAUCCGUGGAUGAAAGCAUGCAGGAAUGAGCAAACAGAGAAACAGGGAGAGAAGGAAUCAAGCCCGGGUGAGAGUGUGCCCUGAGUGAGAGCCCACCGAUGCCCAGGACGUCAGUGGUUGUGUCAGGAAGUCGGGACUCGGGAUAGACAUAGGGCCACGUCGGAAGCAAGGUCAGGUCAUCGUGGGCGGAGCGACCCGUGAACUUUGGGUAUCGGGCACCUGAAGUUUGUCAUUAAAGGAUAAAACCUAGAUGGAAGAAAGAAUGAGUUAGAGGUGGACACGCGUAAACCAGGGGUGACAAUGAGAUGAUGAGGCCCAGCGGGGGAGACGGUGCAGGAGAGGGAAGGAGUGACUGAAAGGGGGAGGCACACGGAGAGAGCCCCCAAAAUGAGUAUUUUUAAAAUUAGGGGGCGAGGACAUCUCUAUGGAGGACAGGGUCACGUGAUUAUGAGCCAAGCAUUAGGAUGACUCCAAAUGCAUACUCCCGGCACAAAAAAGGAAAGAACCUGCAGACGGAGAGUUCUGGAAAAAGAUGAGCUGGAAAAGGACCCAGGGAACCAACGAUGAGGGUUAACUUUAGCCUAAAGUUUUCCGACUCUGGGCCCGUGUAGAUAAGUAAAUGCCCAAACGAAAGAAAGCAGAGGGACCACCAAAGGGAUGAGUGAGCAGCGGACAUCCCUGGGCCCAGAUGGGAGCAUUGGCAGGAGGGGCUUCGAGUCAUCUGCUCCCGGGCACUGAGGUUCCACGAAAGGAUUAAAAAGAGAGAGAAUGGAGUUCCCGUCGUGGCGCAGUGGUUAACGAAUCCGACUAGGAACCAUGAGGUUGCAGGUUCGGUCCCUGCCCUUGCUCAGUGGGUUAAGGAUCCGGUGUUGCCGUGAGCUGUGGUGUAGGUUGCAGAUGCGGCUCGGAUCCCGUGUUGCUGUGGCUCUGGCAUAGGGUGGUGGCUAUAGCUCCCAUUAGACCCCUAGCCUGGGAACCUCCAUAUACCGCGGGAGUGGCCCAAAGAAAUGGCAAAAAGACAAAAAAAGAGAGAGAGAGAGAGAGAGAGAGAGAGAGAGAGAGAGAGAGAGAGAGAGAAAUAAGAUGUCUAACUCCAAAUCAUGACAUUGGGAGGAAAAAGGAACAGGUGUUAAGUAGAGGAAUGCAUUCGUGGGUGAGUACAUACACAUAUUAAAAAAGGCAGGGCUCUGGGAGUAGGGGUCAGAGGCUGUCAUGAAUCCAGGAUGCGGCUGGUCCAAUUCUAAAGCCAUAAUAGCGUCACAAAAUAAUAGGCAUCAAAAUACACAAGU
rnacentral:lncRNA from 1 species